UAGGGAAUCUUCCACAAUGGACGCAAGUCUGAUGGAGCAACGCCGCGUGAGUGAAGAAGGUUUUCGGACCGUAAAGCUCUGUUGUUGGUGAAGAAGGAUAGAGGUAGUAACUGGCCUUUAUUUGACGGUAAUCAACCAGAAAGUCACGGCUAACUACGUGCCAGCAGCCGCGGUAAUACGUAGGUGGCAAGCGUUGUCCGGAUUUAUUGGGCGUAAAGCGAGCGCAGGCGGAAGAAUAAGUCUGAUGUGAAAGCCCUCGGCUUAACCGAGGAAUUGCAUCGGAAACUGUUUUCUUGAGUGCAGAAGAGGAGAGUAGAACUCCAUGUGUAGCGGUGGAAUGCGUAGACAUAUGGAAGAAUACCAGUGGCGAAGGCGGCUCUCUGGUCUGCAACUGACGCUGAGGCUCGAAAGCAUGGGUAGCGAACAGGAUUAGAUACCCUGGUAGUCCAUGCCGUAAACGAUGAGUGCUAAGUGUUGGGAGGCUUCCGCCUCUCAGUGCUGCAGCUAACGCAUUAAGCACUCCGCCUGGGGGAGUACGACCGCAAGGUUGAAAC
rnacentral:rRNA from 1 species